GCCGGCGUAGCUCAGCAGGCAGAGCAACUGACUUGUAAUCAGUAGGCCAUGGGUUCGAUCCCCAUCGCCGGCU
rnacentral:tRNA from 1 species